GAUGAACGCUGGCGGCGUGCCUAAUACAUGCAAGUCGAGCGAACGAACGAGACGCUCGCUUCUCUGAUGUUAGCGGCGGACGGGUGAGUAGUACGUGGCUAACCUUUCACUAUGACUUGAGCAACUUAGGCAAGCCCUAGUAACUACUGCGACAUAUUUUUACCCGCGUGGUUCAAAAGUGAAGUACGGUCUUGCUGUCACUUAUACUUGGAUCCGCGCUGCUUUAGCUAGUGGGAAUGGCAACGCCUUACCAAGGCAAGUAUGCAUAGCCGACCUGUGAGAGUGAUCGGCCACACUAGAACUGAGACACGGACCAUGCGCCUACGGGAGGCAGCAGUAGGGAAUCGUCCGCAAUGGGCGAGAGCCUGACGGAGCAACGCCGCGUGAGUGAUGAAGGUCUUCGGAUCGUAAAACUCUGUUAUGAGGGAAGAACAUAUGUGUAAGUAACUGUGCACAUCUUGACGGUACCUAAACAGAAAGCCACGGCUAACUACGUG
rnacentral:rRNA from 1 species